rnacentral:rRNA from 1 species
GCAACUCGCCUACAUGAAGCUGGAAUUGCUAGUAAUCACAGGUCCGCAUACUGUGGUGAAUACGUUCCCGGGCCUUGUACACACCGCCCGUCACACCAUGAGAGUUGAGAAUACCCGAAGUCCAUGUCAAAGUGGCCGAAGGUAGGCUUGAUGAUUGGGGUGAAGUCGUAACAAGGUACC